rnacentral:rRNA from 1 species
GGGGAAUCUUGCACAAUGGGGGAAACCCUGAUGCAGCGACGCCGCGUGAACGAUGAAGCCCUUCGGGGUGUAAAGUUCUUUCGACAGGAACGAUAAUGACGGUACCUGGAGAAGAAGCUGCGGCUAACUACGUGCCAGCAGCCGCGGUAAUACGUAGGCAGCGAGCGUUGUUCGGAGUUACUGGGCGUAGAGAGUGCGUAGGCGGCGAGCCAAGUUUGGUGUGAAAUCUCCCGGCUUAACCGGGAGGGUGCGCCGAAAACUGGUUGGCUGGAGUAUGGGAGAGGAAAGCGGAAUUCCUGGUGUAGCGGUGAAAUGCGUAGAUAUCAGGAGGAACACCUGCGGUGUAGACAGCUUUCUGGACCAAAACUGACGCUGAGGCACGAAAGCGUGGGUAGCAAACA